UACGUAGGGUGCAAGCGUUGUCCGGAAUUAUUGGGCGUAAAGAGCUCGUAGGCGGUCUGUCGCGUCUGCUGUGAAAAUCAGGGCUCAACCCUGGACCUGCAGUGGGUACGGGCAGACUAGAGUGCGGUAGGGGAGAUCGGAAUUCCUGGUGUAGCGGUGAAAUGCGCAGAUAUCAGGAGGAACACCGGUGGCGAAGGCGGAUCUCUGGGCCGUAACUGACGCUGACGGAGCGAAAGCAUGGGGAGCGAACAGG
rnacentral:rRNA from 1 species